GCCUGGGUGGCUCAGUCGGUUAAGCGUCCGACUUCGGCUCAGGUCACGAUCUCGCCGUUCGUGGGUUCGAGCCCCGCGUCGGGCU
rfam:Felis catus isolate Cinnamon breed Abyssinian chromosome D4, whole genome shotgun sequence.